rnacentral:misc_RNA from 1 species
GGAAGUAAAAGUUCGUAACAAGGUUUCCGUAGGUGAACCUGCGGAAGGAUCAUUAUUGAAUGAAACACUUCUGGCUUUAUGCUGUUGUGCUGGCCCUUUGGGCAAUGUGCACACGGCUCUGGUCACUUGUUUCUUCUGUUCCACCUGUGCACUGCCUGUAGACACGCUGUGUCUAUGGUAUUUGUUAACACACAACAAUGUUAGUUGGCAUGUUAUAUAUAAUAAUAAAAUAUACAACUUUCAACAACGGGUCUCUUGGCUCUC